AGAUAGAUAGAUAGAAUAGUUUAUUGUGACAUAAACAUGAAUCGCAGAGGCUGAAGCCUGUACGCGAUAUACAAUUACUUAACAUAUAAACAUUAUUACAGUAGCCACAUUUAAAAUGAAAUCUUAUUCCGAAUCAAAAACGAACCAACGAAGAAAUCAACGAACUAUAUCAAAAAUGAAGUGUCGAUAAUUCAGUAACAACUGUGUGGUGUUGUACCCAUGUUUUGUUGAAGUGUAGUACAGUAUUACCAACGCAUCAACCAGAGUCCAAUCCGAGGUUCUUCGGGAUCAUGCAAUAUAUGCGUGGAGCUAGGUAUGUGAAGCAUCUUUGUCCAAUUCGCUUUUCAGCUCUAGGAAUCACGUGGAUUAUCUUACCCCUAGUUUCAUACCUACAUUCGGUUUGUCUUAAAGUGAGGUGAACUUUCCCAGAACAGAUGGCCGUUAAUAUCUGGGAUACAAACAACUGGUGAGGAUUCAUUGCCCGUGAUAAGGCGUAUAAUUCGUCCGAUGGAAACAAAUGGGGCUUUCCAUGGAUUACACGGAGCAACCAUUUCUGGAUCACUUCUACUCUUUUCAUGUGGCAUUCGUAUGCUCCGCCCCAGGCAAUAAUUCCAUACUUUAUUAGCGAUUGGCAUAGAGCAUUAUAUAUCAGCAUAAGCUUUUCGAUGUCCAGAUACUUUUUAAGGUGUCUAUCGAUUGUAAUGCCGAGAUACUUGAUGGAGUCAGUUUCGGGUAUUGCUGUGAAGUCGUUGACUUUCAGAGGACCCAAGUUCGGGAGUCCUGUCUCAUAGGAAGUAAAUGG